rnacentral:rRNA from 1 species
UUCAGGUAACACUGAAUGGAGGACCGAACCGACUUACGUUGAAAAGUGAGCGGAUGAACUGAGGGUAGCGGAGAAAUUCCAAUCGAACCUGGAGAUAGCUGGUUCUCUCCGAAAUAGCUUUAGGGCUAGCCUCAAGUGAUGAUUGUUGGAGGUAGAGCACUGUUUGGACGAGGGGCCCCUCUCGGGUUACCGAAUUCAGACAAACUCCGAAUGCCAAUCAAUUUAACUUGGGAGUCAGAACGUGGGUGAUAAGGUCCAUGUUCGAAAGGGAAACAGCCCAGACCACCAGCUAAGGUCCCAAAAUAUAUGUUAAGUGGCAAAGGAUGUGGUAUUGCCCAGACAACUAGGAUGUUGGCUUAGAAGCAGCCAUCAUUUAAAGAGUGCGUAAUAGCUCACUAGUCGAGUGACACUGCGCCGAAAAUGUACCGGGGCUAAACAUAUUACCGAAGCUGUGGAUUGUCCGUAGGACAAUGGUAGGAGAGCGUUCUAAGUGCGUCGAAGCAUGAUCGCAAGGACAUGUGGAGCGCUUAGAAGUGAGAAUGCCGGUGUGAGUAGCGAAAGAUGGGUGAGAAUCCCAUCCACCGAUUGACUAAGGUUUCCAGAGGAAGGCUCGUCCGCUCUGGGUUAGUCGGGUCCUAAGUCGAGGCCGACAGGCGUAGACGAUGGAUAACAGGUUGAUAUUCCUGUACCACCAUUUAUCGUUUUAAGCGAUGGGGGG